AUUGAACGCUGGCGGCAUGCCUUACACAUGCAAGUCGAACGGCAGCACGGGAGCAAUCCUGGUGGCGAGUGGCGAACGGGUGAGUAAAGUAUCGGAACGUGCCCAGUCGUGGGGGAUAACGUAGCGAAAGUUACGCUAAUACCGCAUACGAUCUAUGGAUGAAAGCGGGGGAUCGCAGGACCUCGCGCGAUUGGAGCGGCCGAUAUCAGAGUAGGUAGUUGGUGGGGUAAAGGCUCACCAAGCCGACGAUCUGUAGCUGGUCUGAGAGGACGACCAGCGACACUGGGACUGAGACACGGCCCAGACUCCUACGGGAGGCAGCAGUGGGGAAUUUUGGACAAUGGGCGAAAGCCUGAUCCAGCCAUGCCGCGUGCAGGAUGAAGGCCUUCGGGUUGUAAACUGCUUCUGUACGGAACGAAAAGGUUUGGCCUAAUAAGCUGAGCUCAUGACGGUACCGUAGGAAUAAGCACCGGCUAACUACGUGCCAGCCGCCGCAGUAACAC
rnacentral:rRNA from 1 species